UUUCAAACAAACAAAUUAGUAUU
rnacentral:snRNA from 1 species